UAAUCUACUGGAAUGUUAGCAGUUACUUGGAUAACUGAGGUAAUUCUUGAGCUAAUACAUGCGAAAAAUCUCGACUCACGAAGAGAUGCUUUUAUUAGACCAAACCAAACAGCUUUGGCUGUAUUACUGGUGACUCUGAAUAACCUCGUGCUGAUCGCAUUGCCUUGAGCAGGCGACGUUUCCUUUGAAGGUGUGCCCUAUCAACUGUCGACUGUGAUAUAGCCGCUCACAGUGGUUUUGACGGGUAACGAGGAAUCUGGGUUCGAUUUCGGAGAGGGAGCCUUAAAAACGGCUACCACAUCCAAGGAAGGCAGCAGGCACGCAAAUUACCCAAUUAUCGAAGAUAGAGGUAGUGACGAAAAAUAACAAUACCAGACUCUUCCGAGGCCUGGUAAUUGGAAUGAGUACACUUUAAAACCGUUUCACGAGGAUCCAUUGGAGGGCAAGUCUGGUGCCAGCAGCCGCGGUAAUUCCAGCUCCAAUAGUGUAUAUUAAUGUUGUUGUGGUUAAAAAGCUCGUAGUUGGAUUUCGGCGGGUAUAGGUUGGUUUGAAUUGAUUCAAUACUGACUUUUCUACCCGUGUGUUUUGCC
rnacentral:rRNA from 1 species